GAUGAAGAACGUAGCGAAAUGCGAUACGUAAUGUGAAUUGCAGAAUUCAGUGAAUCAUCGAAUCUUUGAACGCAUAUUGCGCUCUCUGGUAUUCCGGAGAGCAUGCUUGUUUGAGUAUCAGUAGACACCUCAACUUCCAUAUCUUUUUUGAAAUGGGAGUUGGACUUGAGUGAUCCCAACGCUUUUCCUCACCGAAAAGUGGCGGGUUACUUGAAAUGCAGGUGCAGCUGGACUUUUCUCUGAGCUAUAAGCAUAUCUAUUUAGUCUGCCUAAAAAACAGAUUAUUACCUUUGCUGCAGCUAACAUAAAGGAGAUUAGUUCUUGUGCUGACUGAUGCAGGAUUCACAAAGACAGGCUUCGGCCGACUUUGUAAACUCGAUCUCAAAUCAAGUAAGACUACCCGCUGAACUUAAGCAUAUCAAUAAGCGGAGGA
rnacentral:misc_RNA from 1 species